rnacentral:rRNA from 1 species
GACGAACGCUGGCGGCGUGCUUAACACAUGCAAGUCGAGGGCGGUAGCAAUACCGACCGGCGAACGGGUGCGUAACACGUAAGCAACCUACCCUUUUGUGGGGGAUAGCCGGCCCAACGGCCGGGUAAUACCGCAUACGCUAACCAGUUCUCAUGGACAGGUUAGGAAAGCUUUAGCGCAUAGGGAGGGGCUUGCGGCCUAUCAGCUUGUUGGCGAGGUAACGGCUCACCAAGGCUACGACGGGUAGCUGGUCUGAGAGGAUGGCCAGCCACAUUGGGACUGAGAAACGGCCCAGACUCCUACGGGAGGCAGCAGUGGAGAAUCUUGCGCAAUGGUCUAACGACUGACGCAGCGACGCCGCGUGUGGGAUGAAGCUCUUCGGGGUGUAAACCACUGUUGCCUGGGACGAAUUGCCGGAUUUUUCUGGCUUGACGGUACCGGGUGAGGAAGCACCGGCUAACUCUGUGC